rnacentral:rRNA from 1 species
GAUGAACGCUGGCGGCGUGCCUAAUACAUGCAAGUAGAACGCUGAAGGAAGGAGCUUGCUCUUUCCGGAUGAGUUGCGAACGGGUGAGUAACGCGUAGGUAACCUGCCUGGUAGCGGGGGAUAACUAUUGGAAACGAUAGCUAAUACCGCAUAACAGUAGAUGUUGCAUGAUAUCUACUUAAAAGGUGCAAUUGCACCACUACCAGAUGGACCUGCGUUGUAUUAGCUAGUUGGUGAGGUAACGGCUCACCAAGGCGACGAUACAUAGCCGACCUGAGAGGGGGAUCGGCCACACUGGGACUGAGACACGGCCCAGACUCCUACGGGAGGCAGCAGUAGGGAAUCUUCGGCAAUGGACGGAAGGCUGAACGAGCAAAGCCGCGGGAGUGAAGAAGGUUUUCGAAUCGUAAAGCUCUGUUGUAAGAGAAGAACGAGUGUGAGAGUGGAAAGUUCACACUGUGACGGUAUCUUACCAGAAAGGGACGGCUAACUACGUG